GACCUGAUGGUGUAACUGGUAACACUCCUACUGAUACUAGGUGAAUGUCAAGUAGUCUAAGUAGGAGCUCCUUGUUCGAAUCGGGGUUGGGUCA